GAGGAAUAUUGCGCAAUGGAGGCAACUCUGACGCAGCCAUGCCGCGUGCAGGAUGAAGGCGCUACGCGUUGUAAACUGCUUUUAACCGGGAAGAAACCCCAGGACGUGUCCUGGGUUGACGGUACCGGAGGAAUAAGCACCGGCUAACUUCGUGCCAGCAGCCGCGGUAAUACGAAGGGUGCAAGCGUUAUCCGGAUUCAUUGGGUUUAAAGGGUGCGUAGGUGGGGCGUUAAGUCAGUGGUGAAAGCCUACAGCUCAACUGUAGAAUUGCCAUUGAUACUGGCGCUCUUGAGUGCGCUUGAAGUAGGCGGAAUGUGCCGUGUAGCGGUGAAAUGCUUAGAUAUGGCACAGAACACCAAUUGCGAAGGCAGCUUACUAAGGCGAUACUGACACUGAGGCACGAAAGCGUGGGGAUCGAAC
rnacentral:rRNA from 1 species